UACGUAUGGUGCAAGCGUUAUCCGGAUUUACUGGGUGUAAAGGGAGCGCAGGCGGCGCGUUAAGCCUGGUGUGAAAGCCCGCGGCCCAACCGCGGGACUGCAUUGGGAACAGGCGCGCUGGAGUGCCGGAGGGGUAGGCGGAAUUCCUAGUGUAGCGGUGAAAUGCGUAGAUAUUAGGAGGAACACCAGUGGCGAAGGCGGCCUACUGGACGGUGACUGACGCUGAGGCUCGAAAGCGUGGGGAGCAUACAGG
rnacentral:rRNA from 1 species